rnacentral:lncRNA from 10 species
UUGUUCUGGUGUGGCCACAUGGUCACCCAAGGUAUGAAGCCAUAGCUGCUAUGCUCGGUUAUUAAAGGUAAAAGUUAUCAGUGGAAUUUAGAGAUGGUUCCAACUCCUGGGGAAUUGGUUCACUGGCUGCAUAAGGAAAUGCAAACUAAUAAGAAAAAAAAUGAACUGGCUGUUAUAAAUAAAUAGCCAUAAAACUAGCUAUUAUAAAUAAAUAAUCCCUUAAUUAUUGUUAUUUAUAAUAGCUAAAAUGAAAUUUAAAGAGAGUACUGUGUUGGUCCUUGAAGCUGGAUAAACCUCAGAUCUUGGUCUGUUUGAGCUCAGGCUGCUGGCCUCAAAGCCACCCUCCAAGGACAGAAUUGUGCAGGGGCAACAAAGUACCUCUGAGACAUGUGGUUACCAAGAAGGUAGUCAAUGUGGAAAAAGGGCAAAACGAAGUGCAGUUUUGGGGACUGAGCCCUCGAUCUGUGGGAUCUGAUACUACCUCCAGGUAGACAGUGUCAAAUCUGAAUAGAGGAUACCCAGCUGGUGUCCACUGCUUAUUAGUGGGGAAAAAACCCCACACAUUUGGUCACAGAAGUCUUCUGUGUUGAUUACUGUGGUGUUAGAGUAAAGGAAAAACACAGU